rnacentral:rRNA from 1 species
UGGGGAAUAUUGCACAAUGGGCGCAAGCCUGAUGCAGCCAUGCCGCGUGUAUGAAGAAGGCCUUCGGGUUGUAAAGUACUUUCAGCGGGGAGGAAGGGAGUAAAGUUAAUACCUUUGCUCAUUGACGUUACCCGCAGAAGAAGCACCGGCUAACUCCGUGCCAGCAGCCGCGGUAAUACGGAGGGUGCAAGCGUUAAUCGGAAUUACUGGGCGUAAAGCGCACGCAGGCGGUUUGUUAAGUCAGAUGUGAAAUCCUCGGGCUCAACCUGGGAACUGCAUCUGAUACUGGCAAGCUUGAGUCUCGUAGAGGGGGGUAGAAUUCCAGGUGUAGCGGUGAAAUGCGUAGAGAUCUGGAGGAAUACCGGUGGCGAAGGCGGCCCCCUGGACGGAGACUGACGCUCAGGUGCGAAAGCGUGGGGAGCAAACAGG